rnacentral:misc_RNA from 1 species
UGAGAAGCCACAACAGCUGCAAUGGAUGGACUUGAGUCUUCUCCUGGGUGAGGAUGAGUUACAUCAGCACCAAAUAUAAUGGUAGGCCGGUCACUAACCAAAGGUAUACGCCUAGAUAACGCAUCAACAAGUACUGUAUUCCUUCCCCCAACCUUAACGUUUAUUUUCAAGGCCACAUUGGCCAAGUACUGUUUGCUCAUUUUGAAGACAUGUUUAGUCAAACAGCACUGGGAAACAAGGCCGAGAUCUGUUUCACAGAUACGUUUUAAAUCACCAUAAAGAGAUCCGUUGUUAUCUGGCAAUACAACAAUAAGCAGAUCAAGCUCCUUGCCCUGGGGUUGGAGAAUGCUCAUUGCAUCAUGGUACCGAGUUUUAAGGGCCUUUUCCACAUGAUCAGGACGAGCAAAAAUAGGAGGAAGCACUGGUUCUGGAUUGAAAGCCAUGCCAGAAAUGUAACACAUUUGAGCAAGUUCAUAACAAAACCCACGAGUAACACUGUCUUGCACAUAGCGA